rnacentral:tRNA from 1 species
AGCGGAAUAGUUCAGUAGGUUAGAACGACAGAAUCAUAAUCUGUAUGUCGGGGGUUCAAGUCCCUCUUCCGUUA